CCAUCGGACCUUAUUUGUCAGCUUGGAUCACGUGAUCCAUCCAGCUGCCGCGUGCGGCAAACAGCCCAAAUAGCGCUAACUCUGGCCUGCGAGCGUUUGCUGCGACUAGCGCGCUAGCGCUCGUGACAUACACAAACGCGCUAGCCAGAAUGCUUUGACUUUGAUGGCUUUCAGCUUCUAUUUUUUGAAAAGUAGCGCGCUCAGACCAGCUCGCUCACUCUUUUCCUCUUCCAUUUUUUAGGGCAAUUGUUUUGUUUGAUAGACGAAGCUUAGGGUCUCUUUGGGUUUGCAACCCUUACCCUCCUGGAAAAAAUCAUAGUUGUGCUAGACUGCGACACUUCAGACCAGGUACUAUUAGAGCCGCUAAUGGACGACGAGCUAUUUUCCGCUAUCCGGAGCUCAAGCAUUUGAGCCGCUAAAUGGACGAGACUCCUGAGGUAAAGGAUGCAGAGAAUGAGGAGAGAACACUCGUAUGGAGCAGGGAGUAGGUAGUGUACUACUUCCUGGUAUGGAGCACUGAGAAGCGCUUGGUGACAUCGUCCAAGAUCGACAGGGAUGGCGGGUCACCUGCCGUGACGCUGUCGACGCUAUUGUCCAGUCCCGCAUGGAGCCUGUGGCGAAGCCCCUCAUUUGUGGCACUUGUGCGCGCAGUUUUCGUCGGCCACAGGAUAUUGCGACGCACAAGUGUAACGCUGUUCGCGCGGCCCGCGCGCGCUGAGUAUGGCGUUCCCCGCCCGGUGGACAACACGUCUCCUGGUCUGCCCCGUAUGGGGCCACAUAGCCAGUCAUGGCAGUGGAAGAAGGAAGGAAGGAAGAGCCGCUCGCGACUCGAACCAUGGAGAUUGCCCAUGUGUCGUCUUUUCGUUACCUUGGAUCCAACAUACACAGCAACGGCCGAUGUCAUGAUGAUGUUACAUCCCGGAUCUCUGUCUUUUCUCCUUCUGUCUGUCUGUCUGUCUGUCUGUCUGUCUGUCUGUCUGUCUGUCUGUCUGUCUCUGUGUGUUUGUGUGUGUGUGUGUGUGUGUGUCUCUCUCCCUCUCUCUCUCUCUCUCUCCCUCUCUCUGUCUCUGUCUCUCUCUCUCUCUCUCUCUCUCUCUCUCUCUCUCUCUCUCUCUCUCUCUCUCUCUCUCUCUCUCUCUCUCUCUCUCUCUCUCUCU